rnacentral:rRNA from 1 species
AGUGAACGCUGGCGGUAGGCCUAACACAUGCAAGUCGAACGGCAGCACAGUAAGAGCCUGCUCUUACGGGUGGCGAGUGGCGGACGGGUGGGGAAUACAUCGGAAUCUACUUUUUCGUGGGGGAUAACGUAGGGAAACUUACGCUAAUACCGCAUACGACCUACGGGUGAAAGCAGGGGAUCUUCGGACCUUGCGCGAUUGAAUGAGCCGAUGUCGGAUUAGCUAGUUGGCGGGGUAAAGGCCCACCAAGGCGACGAUCCGUAGCUGGUCUGAGAGGAUGAUCAGCCACACUGGAACUGAGACACGGUCCAGACUCCUACGGGAGGCAGCAGUGGGGAAUAUUGGACAAUGGGCGCAAGCCUGAUCCAGCCAUACCGCGUGGGUGAAGAAGGCCUUCGGGUUGUAAAGCCCUUUUGUUGGGAAAGAAAAGCAGCAGGUUAAUACCCCGCUGUUCUGACGGUACCCAAAGAAUAAGCACCGGCUAACUUCGUG